rnacentral:rRNA from 1 species
GAUGAACGCUGGCGGCGUGCCUAAUACAUGCAAGUCGAGCGGAAGGACGCUGCGCUUGCUUCUUUCACGUUAGCGGCGGACGUGUGUAUAACACGUGGAUACCCUCCUUAUCAUUCUGGGAUCACUUCGGGACACCGGCGCUAAUACCGGAUAAUAUUCUGAUCCGCGUGGUUCGAUGGUGAAUGACGGUGUUGCUGUCACUUCUAGAGGGUUCUCCGCUGCAUUGGCUGGUUGGUAAGGUCACGGCUUACCACGGCAACGAUGCAUAGCCGACGUGAGAGGCGGAUCGGCCACACUGGAGCGUGGACGCGGUCCAUACUCCUACGGGAGGCAGCAGUAGGGUACGGUCCGCAAUAGGCGAAAGCCUUACGGAGUAACGCCGCGCGAGUUAUGAAGGUCUUCGGAGCGGAAAACUCUGUUAUUAGGGAAGAACAGAUGUGUAAGUAACUGUGCACUGCUUGACGGUACUUAAUCAGAAAGCAACGGCUAACUACGUG